rnacentral:tRNA from 1 species
GAAGUUUUAGUAUAAAUUAGUAUUUGUGGUUGUCUGCCACAGGGUUUGAAACUUCA